UAUUACCUUCCCCAGACCCCACCUGGUGGGAGUAUACUGGGUAGUUGUUGUUGUUGUUCUGGCUUAAUAGCAAUGCUUUGUUGGCAUUCAGUACCUGUAUCUUAUCUGUACCAAUGAUUAUUCUGAUAUUCUGAUGUUAUUUUUCCUGAACUACUUCAUCCAAAAAAAAAAAAAAACACUGAACUAAAGGAUAUUAUGGAGAAUUGGAUUAGCGAGGGAGACAAUAAGUGUUCAGUUUGGAGAAAUUUAACCUGGUUAUCACUAAAUUCAAAUUAAAUUGCCUAUAGACUAUAGUUCUUUAAACUUACAGUUGGCUUCCAAAUACUGGUAUAUGCAUAGUCUCUGCUGCCUUUGGAUCAUAGUUGUUUCUAUUCCCAAAGAUAGAAAACAUAAGGUUCCAUUUUUAUCUACAGUUGGCUUCCAAAUGCUGGUAUAUGCAUAGUCUCUGCUGCCUUUGGAUCAUAGUUGUUUCUAGUCCCAAAGAUAGAAAACAUAAGGUUCCAUUUUUAUCUGCAGUUUGCUUUAUGUGGUGAAUCAUAAUAAACUGCGAUUGUUUACUUUCUCAAAAGAUUAAAACUUUGAUUGUUUAUGACUAUUGAAUUGGUUUGGCAAGAGAGAUAAUGAAUAUUCAGUUUCUUUUGGGGAAAUUUAACCUGGUUAUCACUAAAUUCAAAUAUAAUUGCCUAUAGUUCUAAAAAUUUUAGUUGGCUUGCAAAUGCUGGUAAAUGUGUAGUCUCCGCCGCCUUUGGAUCAUUGUUGUUUCUAGCUUCUCUUGGUCCCAAAGAUAGAAAACAUAAGUCAAUUUUUAUCUGCAGUUUGAUUCAGAUCUUAUGUGGUGAAUCAUAACAAACUGCUAUUGUUUACUUUCUAAAAAAUAAAACUGUGAUUGUUU
rnacentral:lncRNA from 1 species